UUGGACAAUAAAGUAAAAACAGUCAAGGUCAAACAAGGUAUUGGAGCAGUAGAAUUUCAUUCUAUAUGUAACCUUUAUCCACUGGAGCUCACAAUAACUCAUCCGGGUAGAGGUUUGGUAUAUAACAAGGGGGCCUCCCACAAUAAUGCCGACCCCACCCAGAGUGGCGGUGAUCGUGUCGGGGCGCCUCGGCCCAAAAGGAAGGCUACAGAGUGGUUUAACAAAAUACUUAGGGAUAAUUUAGAUAACUUGUAAAUAUCUUGGUUGUUUCAGUACUUCACCUACUAAGGCUGAAGACUUUAGAAUUAAUUUUGGGUAGUAGUUAGAAUUAUCAGGGUAAAAAAUAUGCUACACCUUCCAGGUGAGGAUUGAUUAAAAAAUAUGCUACACCUUCCAGGUGAGGAUUAAAAAAUAUGCUACACCUUCCAGGUGAGGAUUGAUUAAAAAAUAUGCUACACCUUCCAGGUGAGGAUUGAUUAAAAAAUAUGCUACACCUUCCAGGUGAGGAUUGAUUAAAAAAUAUGCUACACCUUCCAGGUGAGGAUUGAUUAAAAAAUAUGCUACACCUUCCAGGUGAGGAUUGAUUAAAAAAUAUGCUACACCUUCCAGGUGAGGAUUGAUUAAAAAAUAUGCUACACCUUCCAGGUGAGGAUUGAUUAAAAAAUAUGCUACACCUUCCAGGUGAGGAUUGAUUAAAAAAUAUGCUACACCUUCCAGGUGAGGAUUGAUUAAAAAAUAUGCUACACCUUCCAGGUGAGGAUUGAUUAAAAAAUAUGCUACACCUUCCCAGGUGAGGAUGAAUAGUAAAAAUGCUACACCUUCCUACAAGGUGAGGAUAGGGUAAGGGCAAGUCUAUUUGGAUGAGAUGUGCAAUGAUCUCAAUCCCCCUUAGUUGCAUUUCACUCUUUUCCUCUUACUAAGAUUAGUCCCCAUUUCUUUUCUUUAAAUAAAUAAAUAAUUGAAUAAAUAAUUACUCUAGACGGUUAAUUGCGAUUUGGGGAAUCGCAAUCUCCUCUGGGGAAUGUGUUAGGAAUUAGGUCAGUUAACCAGGGGAUUAGUCAAAUUAACUAUUUCCCUUAUAGAACUAGUCUCGGGCCGAGAGUUCAAGCCAACUAAGAGUAUCGUCUGAGCUCAAAUAAGCCUUGGAUGGUACUUACAUACUUCGCUCAUCGGCUCCCAGACUGAGACAGAAUCACCUUAUUCACUGCCUGAAGACUAAACACAUUUACCAUGAAAGAAAUAACAAUAGUUCAGUGUUUCCUUUCAUGAAAUAAUAAAUAAUUGCCCUUGCGGAAUUAUAAUUAAAGAGCAAGGAUAAUUUAACCGAUUGAAAGCCACUCCAUCUGGCGAGGGAAAUUCAAAAUUCCUCUUCAGACCCACGUG